rnacentral:rRNA from 1 species
CGUGUUCCGGGGGGCUACACAUGCAAGUCGAGCGGUAAGGCCCCUUCGGGGGUACACGAGCGGCGAACGGGUGAGUAACACGUGAGCAACCUGCCCCCGACUCCGGGAUAAGCGGUGGAAACGCCGUCUAAUACCGGAUACGACCCGCACCCUCAUGGGUUCGGGUGGAAAGUUUUCUCGGUCGGGGAUGGGCUCGCGGCCUAUCAGCUUGUUGGUGGGGUAACGGCCUACCAAGGCGAUUACGGGUAGCCGGCCUGAGAGGGCGACCGGCCACACUGGGACUGAGACACGGCCCAGACUCCUGCGGGAGGCAGCAGUGGGGAAUCUUGCGCAAUGGGCGAAAGCCUGACGCAGCGACGCCGCGUGGGGGAUGACGGCCUUCGGGUUGUAAACCUCUUUUACCACUCACGCAGGCCCCGGGUUCUCCCGGGGUUGACGGUAGGUGGGGAAUAAGGACCGGCUAACUACGUGCCAGCAGCCGCGGUAAUACGUAGGGUCCGAGCGUUGUCCGGAAUUAUUGGGCGUAAAGAGCUCGUAGGCGGCGUGUCGCGUCUGCUGUGAAAGGCCGGGGCUUAACUCCGGUUUUGCAGUGGAUACGGGCAUGCUAGAGGUAGGUAGGGGAGACUGGGAAUUCCUGGUGUAGCGGUGAAAUGCGCAGAUAUCAGGAGGAACACCGGUGGCGAAGGCGGGUCUCUGGGGCCUUACCUGACGCUGAGGAGCGAAAGCGUGGGGGAGCGAACAGGAUUAGAUACCCUGGUAGUCCACGCCGUAAACGUUGGGCGCUAGGUGGUGGGGGGGCUUUCCACGGGUUCCCGGUGGCCGGCAGCUUAAACGGCAAUUAAUGCGGCCCCCGCCCUGGGGGAGUACGGGCCGGCUAAUGUCUAAAACUCAAAAAUGGGAAAUUUUGAACUGUCGGGAGGGCCCCGCCG